CUCAAAACCUGAGGAGAAAAGGACACGUAUCAGACACAUAGCUGGAGCCGUCCACCAUGAAACUUUCUACAGACGAAAAAGUCGAAAUCAGAUAAAACUGAAAUUGGAAAAUGAGGCGUUAUCUGUUUUUUAAUUUUCGUUUUAGAGACGAAUAUUUAGAAAAAAAUCAUUUUCUCGUUUCCAAUAAUCGAACCUGGAGCUGAAGAGUGAAGGUGACUGUAAAUUAAAGUUAAAUCAAGUUUGAUUUUCAGACUCUUGGACUUGUAUCCAACCUUUCUAUUAACCUGCAUGUAAGACUUGUGUGUCUGUGAAGCUUUAGUUCACAAAGAGGAUAGCGGCUUUGUUCAAAUGAGAUCGCCCGGCGCCUUGUUUUGUGAAUCUGUGUGCAGCUCGUGUCGCCGCUCCAGCCACCAGACGCCGGGCUGUGUCUAGACUGCAGUAUGAGCUCUGCGGCGUCUACCUGUCCAAAUAUCUUUAAAGAAAUCUACCGGGAUGCCGAGUCCUGCAGGCUGCUCCAGGUGCAUCUCACUUGCAUCUUUUCUGAAGCUGUGAGCUGUAUUUUAACGUCGACUGAUACAGACAGGAAAGGAUUGGAAUCCAAUUUCACUUAAUACUCCACCUUUACAAGCAGUCCUGGGAAAUCAGGUUUUUAAUCCCUGCUGGUUGUGUGUUGUGGCUCAGGGCCCCACGGAGUUGAGAUCUAAUCUGGAGUUGUUGGUUUGUUUGCUGUGGAGCUUCACACCAGGUGGAACCGGAGGAUCUCGUGCCUGAUAUCUGUCACAGGUGUCCACACGGGAUAAUGCUGCUAUCAGAAAAAACCACUUCCUGCCUGUUUGACGCCAUGAGAUCGACUUCUUUCCAGAUUUUUAUUAAUAGAGUGGCUUUAAAAACCUUCAAUCCACAGGAAACACAAGCUUUCAAAAAGCACGGAUGAGAAUCAUCCAGGUAUGAUAGUCCGACAGUUUCAGUUGGACGGACUCGGUAAGUCUGAUGGACCCUCCUCUGCCUGCAUCUGGACAUCCUGUUUCGAGGCUCUCUGUCCCAUCUGCCUGACCCCGGCUCGUCUCGUCUGCUCACAUGUGUCGCAGGUACAUUAAAUCAAAGUGUGUGAAUUAAACUGGGAGGAUUGUAUUUUUAUUUCCCAGCAUGCCUUCCUCAUGGCGUGAAUACUCGUGAGCGUGCUUCUCCUCUGUUUCCCUCUCUCCUCUCCUGAAGCCUGACUCUGUGCAUAUGAGACCUAUUUCUCAGCCUCCAUCUCCUCCUUCGGCCAUUAGUCUGUCUGUGCCAGUUCAUCAGACCAUCAUUCAGUCUGUAAGUAAGUCUGCCUCCACGGCAGGAUGUCCAUUAUUUCAUUUCUUCCUCUUUCUCCGUCAUAAUGCUGCCGCUUCUCCUUCCAUCUAUCCAUAACGCGUCCAAUUUCACACUUUCACUGUCAGGACAUGCACUUAAUUACAUUCCCAGCCUGUUUUUUUCGCCCACACACACACAACAUGAGCAGCGUGGAUAAUGCUAAAACUUCCUCAUCGAAUCAGCUCCCUGAGGACCGACACCGGUGGGCGGGACUUGAACCAAAAUCCUCCAUCUGUUAUUUUCACAUAUGAGCUAUAACUCACAUUGCAUUCAGUUUUAACACUUAAAGGGAUAUUCCGGCAUAAAACUUUAGUAACGACCACAAGAUAGCAAUACAGAGAGCCACGCGCUCAACCAAAACGCCACUCCAUAAACACAAAUAAUGCUCAGAACAGCACCUAACUUCAUCAACAGGACAUAUAGGGUCACAGACAUAGUACUAGACACCAAACAUCUUUUUAACUUCGACUAAUUUCUUUAAAAAGGGACUAAAAACAACUCUCACUCACCUACUCUCCAUCAGACCGAGACGCUAAGGCAGAAGAACUACCGUGUCUGCAGUGCAAAAUGAUUAAUAUGGUGAUUAUUACUUCAAGAAAAUUAUAAAGAAAUGAUCAUAAAUGUUCUUCCUUGAGCUGCGUCACCCCGCUGUAGUCGAUGUACUCGCCGGAGGUCUCCGUACAAACAAGCGGCUGCUGGAAGAGAGUAGGUGACCAACAAAAACCAAUAACAACUUCACUUAAAUCUGCGAAAUCUGUGAAAAGAAACUACAGCAAGUCUAACCCCCAAUUUCCACCGCAUUCGGAACGGCUACAAAAAUAUCGAAUCUGCCGAUCGUAGCUAAUCGUAACCACUCAAGUUAAUGAGUCAAUUUCCACCCGCUUCAUUCCAUUCGGCUGCGGAUCACCAGACUCUCCAUGUGAUCGCUGGAGCAUGCCGGUCAAAUUCAGCACAGAUUAACCCGUGCUGGAAAGGAAGUCGGGCACAGACACAAAAUAAAACAUCCGGGUUCUUUUCAAAAUAAAACACUCCAUGUUUCAGGCGGAUCGUAUUUCACACCAUGCAAAGGGACAGCACACCGACGUAUUAAUUGAAUAAUUGGCUCCUGAGAGCUUCACCGCAGCAGCGAAGAUCUCCUUACUCUGAAUAUACAUUUAAACUGUAAAAACAGGUCUGUUUAAUCUGUACAAGUUUUAGUAGAUUUAAAAAUUAUCUGUUUUUAUCCAUUGUGGUCUUGGCAUCGAUAUGAAUGUCAGUCUGAUUCAUACACAUCAAAAAAACUCCUUACAGGAGCUUUAACGGAUCGUGGACUGGGUCGUCCCCUCAUCAUAAAUAAAGGGAACAUUGACUAUUUGCCGCUUAAAUGACUUUCCAAACAUACUGAGUGUAGUUAUUCAUUACUUAAGUGAUUUUUACCGUAUUAUUGACACGCUCCUUCUAGUGCAAACACGAGUCCCUCCUGUGGGCUCCACCUUAGAGUCCGCACUCCUCCUGGUACUCUCAUGCUUUACUAUUACCAUUUAAAUAAGUCAAUGUUUGACAUGCUAAAUUAGGCGUUAAAUCCUCGCAGGUUAUCAAACAUUGACGUUAGCUAAAAUGAAUGGUUAUGAACAUAAACGUGUCCUUACGUUCUCCUUUUAGCUCCUGAUAAAGUGAAGUCCUCGAAUACAGUUUGGGCUUUCCUUCAAAAAACAGCUGCACCCCCUCUCCUCUCCCCAAAUAUGGCGAACGGCAGGAUUUCCCAAGUGGAAACGUAUGUUGCAUGGAGUUCCGGUUGCCAAGACAACAAGGAUGUCGGGGCAACAAGAUGGGCAGCUGUAGCGCUGAGGAACAGCUGUUCAUUUGCAGCCACAUCUGGCAGCUCUUCUCCUCGCCGUCCGCACAUGCACACACAUGCAUACAACUCAGAGAGGGUCUCAGGAGAAGGGUGUGUGUGUGUGUGUGUGUGUGUGUGUGUGUGUGUGUGUUCAUGACAACACAUGCACGCUCCUUCACCCUCCAGGCCAACCUGAUGUCACAUUUACGGUGCAGCGAGAGCGGCGUGUCAUCUUCGUUUUCAGGAAUACGUCUCUGGUUUUAUUGUUUUUGUGAAAAAAACAUAAUUAUGUAAAACAUCCAUUCACACACUUGUAAAGCCAGAGUACGACGAUGAGGCAUGUUUGCAUUCGAAGAACAGCAGCAGAGAGAUAAGUGUGUCUGAGCAAACUAACUCUAGUCAAACACAGAGUACGAGGACCUGCUGCUGCUGCCAGGCUUAAGCGCAAAAAUCAAUAGUCCACAGCUGCAAGGGCCACUCCAAUAUAAAACACUCUCUUUAAUACCUCCAGGCAGGGAAACAUCUGCUGGCUGGACAGGCCUCUCAUACACUUUUUAUGAACUGUAUAUAGACUUAUCUGAUUUUUCCCUCCAACUUUCUGUUUCUAUUUUUUAACUCUUGAAUUUCUCUGUUCCUGCUGCUGUUACCGUCUUUAAUCCGCCUCAGCCUGUCUGUCGAUUACGUUCACCUCCAGUCUUCGCCGUUUUCUGUCCCCUUCAGAUGUUCUCAUUCGCUCCGUUCUGCAUCAUCUCACUCUUAUUUACAUCCGAUUUUCAUUGUUACUAGUUUCGCAACUUCGCUCCCAGCUGUUCCUCAAUUAAUUACAUUUUUGUUGUUUUUUCCUCUUCAAGGUGAGGUAGGCAGGAAUCCGUUUAAGAAGCAUCUUUUUUUUUUGUGGUGUAUAUAGAAAAAAACUUUUAAUAUCAGUUAUUAGUUAUUGACGACAUUUGGGAAUAUAACAAUAUUGCUGUGUUUUGUUAUGUCUGUGUAGUCAACAUUUUAAGUUUUUGAGCAGCCCGCUCUUUCUGACUGUAAACAAAGCCGUUCCCCGCCUCCCCCAACCAACCCCAAUUGGUUGUGAGGCAGACGCUGCUCCCCCGUGUCGUUCACAAGCCCAAACAAAGUUAGCGUGCUACAAUAUCAGACAGUAGAAACCGACCAGAAAGUUCGGAAAAUUGUCCGAAUCCUCCUUUGGCCACGACUGCCGACACAAGAGAGAAAACAAAGUAAAUACCGGAGACUCUGGAGGAAUAACGGGCGCUUAAAACGGAGGUAGACCGGACAAGAGCUAAAAAGCCGGGGCAACAUAAACGAUGGGGGACGCUUGGGGAUCUUGGUGACCCUGUAACCUUUCUGCUGGACAGGUAAACCGCUUUAACAAAGUAAGACAAGUGUCUGUAACAGAAGUGUUUCUUGUCAAACGGACCUGCUGUAGCAUGUUGUAGCGCCAUCGCUAAACUGUCCUCCCUCGGGUCCUGGACUAUGUCACUUUAUCCUAGUUGUAGAAGUCCUGCAAACAUUGUGUUUGCUGGUAGUCUGUUGGCAUCUACAGUAGCACCAAUGCUUUUGACUUUCACCUUGACUGGGCCCCAUUUGUAAUGAUCUGAAGUAUUUAUCUGCAUUAUAUCUGAAUUUAACUGGAACGAUAGGAGCGAGCAGGAGCGUCUGUUUGUGGGCGGGGCUUAAGAGAGGGAGGGGAGGAGCUGAGGGGAAAACUGGUUGGGAGGGGUAGAGUUUACAUUCAAGAUUUCUCCUAAAAACUGGAACUUCCUCAGAUCCUGACUACUUAUCCUAAAUUGGCCUCAUCAGAAGAAUAAGACUCUCUUCUCGUCUUGGACCAAAUGCUCCUAAAGUUUGGUCUCCUUCCCGUCUCGGCGCCGCUGUUAUCCCUGUUUUCAUUUUGAAACUCAGAGAGGACGGGAAGCUUUAUCAAGACCUUGAGGGAGAAUGCAAAAAUUACGACAGACAAUGAAUAUCAGAGACAUUGAGACGCAUCUAAGCAUUCAGAGACACAGAUUCGGUUUUGGAUGGUGUUGUUUUAAAAUCGAGCGCUCUAUGAAAGUGUGUUUUCUUACUUUAAGACGAGUCGACUGAUGAGAAUCUAAUUUCCAUCUUUGAAAUGACUUCCUCUGGGUCCUCUGCGGUUUUCAAAUCACUUGUUUGAUUUUGUUUCCUCUUCUAUAUGUUAUCAAACACUCGGCUUUCUUUAUUUCACCUCCUCUAGAUUUCCUAAUUUUCCCGACUCCACAUUAUCUAUUCACCCGGGUCGUCUGUUUUCCAGUAUGAUUCAUCUCUUCUCAUAACAUCAAACCCUCUGUGAUCUCUCGCUUACUGCACACAUGUUUUCAUCUUUUCCCACACAUUGCCUCAUCUUCAUCUCGCACGCUUUCAUGUCAUCCCAUCAUUUGGAAAUCUUCCUCCUCUGUCAUCAUCUGUCACCUCGCAUCAUCUUCUUCCCCCAAUAUCCCUGUUUUAAAUUCUCCCUCUCUCUGUUCCUCCAUCAUCUCCGCCGCUCUUCUGUUCAAUCUCAUCCUCUCCUUCUGCUGCUGAAGUCUCUCAUCUCUCUCCGUCUUUUAUCUCCCCUUCGCUCUGCCCAAAUACGCCGCUUCAAUCCUCCAAGACAAAAGACAGAGAUGGGAAGAUGAAGCGCGUGUUCGUCCGUUUUCCGUUGAACUGCUUUUAUGAAGUUUUCUCACAAGAUCCGAUUGAAAAGAAUCGUUUUUGAGGGACAAGAAAUCCGCCUCUUUUAAAGUGUCUGCAAACAAACUGAUGAACGGCUCAUAACUGGAGCGAAUUCAUCUUUUAUUUCGGCAAAUAGUGAGUCAUGUGAGCUCUUAAAAAUGACCGAUUUAUGACAACGCUGAAGCUUUUCUACAUCGUACCAAGUGAAAACACACCUGUUUUUGAUCCAAACUCAGGGAUUUUUAGAUGUUUUCUCCAAAUUCGUGUUUUAGUGUUUCUUUGAAAUCUUUGAGGCUUUGAACAGAUCGUGUUUAAGUCAGAGUUAAGUGACGUUAACGGCUUUCAAUGAGGAGACUGUUAUCUACGACCACGUCAAACCAGCGGACACAUCUGUGAGUUAUACCUCAACGAAGCACGUUUGUCAUCGAUGGCAGAAGAAAAGAUAAAAAAACAACAAAAGUCAGGGUAAGCAAAAUCUGCUUUGUCCAGAGGGGGCGCCAAAAUAGACACAAGCUGAGAGUUCCUAGAAAGUCCACUAUAGAGGCUCUUAUUUCGAGCUGGUUUGAAAAUACACAAAACUUCUGUAAAUGGCGCCAAUUCGGAAGUUAAACAACACGACUGAGGCCAGCUGUCACUCACAACUACGACGCCAGAGGGAUGGAAGAUGGAGAGACAAAGUUCAGGGUAAGUUAUUCGACAACAGAGGCGGAGUUUUAAUUCAUACCAAAGAAGUGGGGAAAAAAUGGUUGAAAAGUGACGUUCCAGGGUCGUUUCCAAGAUAUCGAGCUUUACUAUGAGUUUGUUAAAAAGAAGAAUGAAGGAAUGACCAGAACCAGCAGAACCAGGUGACAGACUGUUGGUUAUUUAAAUACAGAUAAUAUUGUUGUUUUGUUUACACACAGAUUUAAAUUAAUGUGUGAAAAAGACAUAAAAAACAACUUUAUUUUAAAAGGCGCUUACAACAAAGAUUCUUUUAUGUUUUAUUUGAUUUCUGUAUGAAAAGAUGGUUUUACAAUCGGGGUUCAUUAUUCAUUUUUAUUUCAUUUAAUGUUGAAUAUAUUAUUUUAAUCUGUAUGCUGCAAAAGCUCGACUCUCAUUUCUAGUAAAAAAUGUGUCAUUGAGGUUGAUUAAAACCAAAUUUACUUGACAAGUCCAAAAAAAGGACUUUUCAAGUUCCCUCUAAUAGAAAAAUGUCACAUUUUAAGAACUUGACGAGUGUUUUUUUCUUUUUUUUUUAUUCCACUGGCAGAUUGUUAUUACUCCUUUCUUAAUUCUGACAUGUAAAACAUUUUUCUGUGCGGUUUUAAAGAUCCUCUGAGCGGGUUUUAAAUUCAUACUGACGCCUUUUUAUGAUCUACAAAAGCAAGAAAAGGAAAAAGCAGCAACAAGCCCGAUCAUUUAACUAGAGUUGGUCGGUGUUUUGCAUUUUCCACACAAGUAUAUCACAAUAAAUGAUUGAUGUAAGUGUUGAAGUAAGAUUAACGAGGGUUUUUUAGUCAGCGUGUAAGUACAGCUUUGUCCACAGGGGGCGCCAAAAUCAACACAAAUCAAAAGUUCUUAUCGGAAGCUUUAAUUAAACCUAAUAGGACUUUUUAUUUCCAACAAGCAAUAAGACAGAUACACCUGCAAAAAGUUAGAGAAAUAAUUUUGCUCUUCGCACUUUAAUGCAAAAUUUGAGCAUAAUUAAAAAAAUUCUGCAAAAUUAAAGUCAUCGCACAUGUCGAACUGACACCAAAGAGGCGCAAAGACCGCCAGAUUCUGCAGCUUCAAGAAGACAGAACAAGCUGCAUCAUUAGGAAUACAGAUCCUAACGAACAAUAACUGCCUCUAAUAUUGUAUUAAGCCUGAAGGUUGUUAAGCUAAAGAUGUGUGUGUGUAUACGUGUAUGUGUGUAUGUGUGUGUGUUUACAGUAGGGUUACAUAAACAGUUAAAGUGAUGGCGGGUGUCAAAGCAGCACAAUAACAUUGUUAGACGUUUGUAAUAAGUCUUUAUGUAAUGUUUUAUGAAGGCUCAAGGGGGCGGCUUAUGACAUCAGCCGAAAGUGUCAAACAGUAUUAUCUCAACACAAGCCGAGCAGCUGACAACCACACACACACACACACACACACACACACACACACACACACACACACACACUCAGAUGAAGCAUAGGCACAAACUGGAAAACUUCCAAAUUGCAGGACAAGGUCACUCAGCCUCAGUGAACACAUAUCAAGCCAAUCCACUCAUUUACUCUCUCUCUCUCUCUCUCUCUCUCUCUCUCUCUCUCUCUCUCUCUCUCUCUCUCUCUCUCUCUCUCUCUCUCUCUCUCUCUCUCUCUCUCUGUCUGUGCGCUGAGAUUUAAAAAGCUUCGGGCUUAUUUAGAGGUUUAAGGAAGCUCUAUAUGCGGUCCAUUCAAGAUCCAGACCUCUGCUUACAGAAAGGUUCACGCCUGCUUUCAGAAACACAGAAUAAAAUCCAUCCAAAAGCUCUGAGAGGAGAGGAAAGAAAUAAAAACAGUGUUUUCUUUCACCUCCGGGUCAGUUUGGCUGUUCGGAUAAACACACAAAAUUAACCAGAUCAUAUGCUGGAGGUGUUUUUUUCUCUCGCUCUCCCCAAACAUCAGCAGAAAACAGCGGGUCAUGGUGUCAGCUCCUUGAGGGCAGGUGCAAGCACUUCUCUUGUAGCUUGCAAGAUUGCUGCGCCCGCAAUCAACAUCCACACCGAGCGAGAAAUCAAUCACAGAGGAGCCGAAGACACCAAUUUCUCCUCUGACGGCAGUUUCAAUAGACCAAAAAGGUAAAGGGAGGAGAAAGUGAGACAGAAGCAACUCUCUUAAAGUCUGUUAUUAUGCUAUCUGGAUCGUUCGGUCCUGAAACUGCAGGAAAGAAGAGGUGUAAGUAAAUCCCUACACUCGAUCGUAACUCUUUCAUGAGACGUCAGAGCAUCAACACUUCUCCGGGGUGAAAUCUUCCUCAAACCGUGCUCCAUGAUGAGGCUAAAAAUAAGAAGCGGCUAAGUUGGUGGAACCGCAUCUCAACCCACGUGUAGCUCGUGGGCUGUUUUUCUGCUGGCAGGUCGCGGUUUGUGUCGAAGCUAAAGCUGAUUAAGAUUUUAACAGCUUGUUCCUGUUUUAAUGUGGAACUGACAGAAUCUGUGGUCAGUGUUCGCAACAGGGAAGCGAUUAAGGACGACACGUCUGUGGUUUCACACUCUGCAUUUCCAGAAACUGAAUUAUUCCACCUGAUUCAUUCGUUGGUUUAGGCAGGGUAAUCUUGUUGGACCGGAGGAAUUAGAGGCUGUCACACGGGGCCAGAAACUGAACAGAACGCCCCGAACCUGAUGGUUGACAGUCUUUUUAACCGCGAGCAGGAAGGAUUUAACAUUCAGAAAACACAGUCGAGAGAGGCAGAGGUGUAAGAAACAAAACAAUAUAAGGCUUAGCUGAAAAAGGAGGAAGUGAAAAACAACAUUUUUUAACCAUUACGACACAACCUCAUUCCUGCGGCUGGAUAUGAUGGUGGAGAAAUAACCAACGAGGAAGGGAAAGAGGCGAAGACGACAAAAAAAACUCAAAACUCAAACUGGCGACGGUGAGGAGAGAGAUUAUCUCCAACAAAUCCACUCCGAGUCAAAUCUUUGAGACUCUUAUUUUACUGCUUUAUGAUAAAAAGAUCCAUUUUUGAGUAUUUUCCUACAAAAACACUCUUCUCUGAGUCUUUACUGACUUGUCUUGAACAUGAGGGCGCUCGAUAUGAAUCCAAACUUGACCCGUGUAGGCUGAGGUUCAGAGGGUCGUGUUUGAGUCUUUAUUUCAACAUCAGCUGUUUGCAACCAAACCGUAUCUCCUGUUUUGUAAUCAACUUCCAGCAAACAUGAACACUCAGCCAGACGAGGAUGUAUUCAGAAAAGAUGUUCUUACCUGCGAUGGAAAUCAGCAGAAACGGCAGCAGCAGUAACAUGGAAGAGAAAAGAGAAAGAAAGUCCGGUUAGAUUCAAGGUCCUUUAAAACCACAAAGUCAGCAUGUAAACGUGCCGUUAAAGCGCCACAAUAGCUCAGCGAAAGGCCUUCUCUGUGUUCGACCAUUAUGAGCGUCCGCGUCAGCAAAAAUCUGAAUGUAAAGCCGCUAAUAAGAACAGUAUUUCAUGUUUAGAGGGACGAUGUUUGCAUAAAUUUGACCUUUAAGAUGGAGGUCAGCUACAGUCCCUGCUCGCUCUCUUUUCCUGUUUCUUCUCAGCUCACUUUCUUACCCUCCUCUCUACUGAGUAUUUUCACAGUGGUAGUUACUAUUAAGUAUCUUAUCCAUAAAAGACCCCAGUAAUUGACCUAUCACUAAGCCCCACCCCUUGAACGCAGAUGAGCCAAUGGCAGUUUAGUAUCAGUUGCACUCGGACAUCUGUAGCUCUCAGUUCCAUAGAGAAGCAUUAGAAGUGAUUUUUCAACUGUUUUAUGGCGCUAAUUUUAAUAUAACAGAAAAAAACAUAAUAAAAAAAAAAAAGGUGUGCAUGGUGUAGAUGUAAUUCUGACACAAGGUAUCCCGACAGGAUGGGUGAUGGGGUGUAUUUUCUUCCAUUUCCAAAACUGAAGAAAGACCAAAGUAAAUGUCGACUUUGGACGGCCAACUUAACGUCAAGCGGACCAACAAGGAUGUCGACGUUUGUUCUACGGUAAGUCACACCAACAUAGCUUUAAAUCUACUAACUUUACCCACAGUUAUUUAAUCGUCAUUAGCGAUGUAGUGACAGAGCUUUCACCUCUGGUGAAUUACCUAUCACUAGCUAGCAUAAGUGGUAGCGCUAGUAAGCAUCAGUGCUAAUGUUCAUGCUAACAUAUAUUCGUUCUAACGUUAGCUAAAAUUGGCAGAAUGAAGUCCCUUUUGAAGGCCUCUCCAAGAAAUCAGAUCUGUCUGUGUCCAGAAUUUGUCGAGACCCAUUUGGGGUAAUUGUAAAGCACAGCUCAGCUCCGAUUGUUUGUCUGAGAUAGCAACAGUAACUAAGGGGGGCGGGGCUUAUUGAUAGAUUAAUUGGACAACCGAUGCCAAAGCCAGGCUACAGCUUUAACAGACAGAGCCGAGUCUACCCUCCAAAACUCUAAAAACUCAUCUUGGUUUGAGUAUGAGGUCUAAAAACAUGAAGAGUUACCUGGUCUGAAGUUACCUGGUGGUGUAGGAGAGUAAACCACCAGCUAACGCCAACAUAAGAAGAAAACCACCAACUGCCUCAAGUCAAGUGCAAAUCUACCAGACGUCACACAAGACUGCAAGCUGAGGCAUCUGAUGCUUAAAGUUGCACGAAACUGGCGUGUAAAAAUGUAUCCAAAUUCAUCACAUAUGAACUGGGACUCAAACAUUAUAGAUGUAAUCAGAUGAUUGCAAAAACAAACGGUGAAGCCAAAGUGUUGGAAAUGUUCGCAGUGGAUCAAACACUUAAGCUGAGAUGAUAGCUCAAGUCAAAGUAACUCAGAGUUAACUCAGAGUUGUGGUGGACUCUGGAGAAAGCUGUAGCCGAGCUCGGGAACCAAAACCCAAAACAUUUUCUCAUGAAAGGGGCGGAGCUGAAAGGUAAACGCUAAUCAGAGACAUGUUACCCAUAAAACCUCACUUAUCAGCGUUCACUUUCACUUUAUUGUGAGUUUAUUGCGUGUACACAGGUGUGACUUGGCUGGAUAUGACUCAAACCCCAAACCCUCGCCGCUUCUUCUCUGUAAACCCCGCCCUUCCUGUCAUUAGCAGUGGCGUGUGGUUGUAUCAGACUGCGUGUUUGUUUAAUGCCACACAUCACCUCUUAUCCUGUUGAAACAACCGAGGUCAUCCAACCUGACUGCAGCAGGAUUUCCUUUUGCAGAGCGCACGCACACACACAUUAACACACACACUAACACACACAGGAUGUGAUUACACAGCAGAAAAACGAGAGAAAGGUACUCACACGUACAAAUCUAAACCCACACACGGCACAGUCGUCCAUAACAGUUUAAGUGAAUCUGAAGAAGGAAGGUUCAUUAACGGCAUCGACAAGGUAAAGUGCCACUUAUUCUGAUUGGUCAAAACUGCCGCCGACCAUUCCAGCUAACUUUCUCCCGGGUCUGCUUUGAGAGUUGCCAUGCCAACUCUUAAGGUAUCCGAGGCAACUGCCGCGUUUAUCUGAGGUCAAAUCUAUAACCACAGAAGAAGAUGUGACGAAUAUACACCGUAGUUCUUUUUUUUUUUUUUAGUAAAAUGAAGAAAAACUGCCGCACAGACUCAGCUCCGCUCUCAGGAGGUGAUGGAGGUGAAGGUCCGAGCUCUAUUAUUAAGACCUUGCAUUCUCAUCAGUACCAGGGAAAAUUCCAGACAUUCGCAGCAAACGUGGACUUCAGGUUUAAAAAGUAAAAACUAAAAUGCUGCUUCGUCAGACUUUGAUUUUGAAGUGUUUUCAUUGAACCUGCCACAGGUUAGAUUUCCCCUCCGAUGAGAGCCUGUUUACUCUCUUUAAUACAUUUUAAUUUGCCGUCGUGCCCUGCAGAAGGUUUCAGGCUAUGACUCAAAAGCUGAAUAUCUGCUCUCUCUGACAAUAACUCUCUAAACUGCUGUAAAUGAUCUCAGUUUCACAAGUUAAAGACAAGUCCUGGCUGUCAAAGCAGGUCCAGUAUCUUACCAAACAACCAACAGCUGAUCCUCACACCUCCUGGUUCCACUGUUGACUACUUUAGCUAUUUCCCUUAAAGAGACGUCGACCUGUAGUGUACUCUCACCCACUAUCUGCAGAGUACAUAGUGUUACCGUCUGGGCGCCUGCAAGCCCACCUCACCUCUAAGGUUCGGUUACAGGUUCCUUUGUCCCUACCUCCAUCAGCCUACUGAUAGAUGCUGAGGAGGUAGACCGAGGAGGUGGAUCUAGAUUUAGAUCUUAGCACUUUAACUUCAUGUGCAAUCUUAGUACUUGGUGUUUUUUUUUUAGUAUUUCUGCUAUUUAUAUCUUGUAUUUUGUAUCGUUCUAUGUCUUAAUGUAUGUCUAUGAUGCUGCAGCCAAUUUGCCCCUCGGGGACACUAAAUAAAACUGAACUCUGAAACAUUCAGAUCAUCUCAUAUUGAUCCUUGAUGGAUUAAAUCACUUUUAUUGUGAUUUCAUGAAUCAAACAGUACGGCACCAUGUGGUAUUGUACACUGUUGUAUAUUCCUGUAUCCUACUGUAUUGUAACUAUCGUAUCAUUUCGGAUCAGACUGUGUUGAAUAGUUUCAGACUUCAUUGUGUCCUAACAUAUAAUACUGUAUUGUGAUUAGGAGUGGGCAUUUUGAGACGGUCCCUUAAUCGAUUAAUCAUAUAAAUUAACGAUCCAUCAUCAAAUACGCAAAAAAACGUAUUCUUUCUCAUUGAAAUACCCUCGGCCCCCCAACUGUUGUUCCGCACUGCCCGCUACACGCUAACUC